rnacentral:rRNA from 1 species
AGCAGUAGCCGCGGUAAUACGGAGGGUGCAAGCGUUAUCCGGAUUUAUUGGGUUUAAAGGGUCCGUAGGCGGACUUAUAAGUCAGUGGUGAAAGCCUGUCGCUUAACGAUAGAACUGCCAUUGAUACUGUAAGUCUUGAGUAUAUUUGAGGUAGCUGGAAUAAGUAGUGUAGCGGUGAAAUGCAUAGAUAUUACUUAGAACACCAAUUGCGAAGGCAGGUUACCAAGAUAUAACUGACGCUGAGGGACGAAAGCGUGGGUAGCGAACAGGAUUAGAUACCCGUGUAGUCCCUGUCUCUUAUAC